GACGAACGCUGGCGGCGUGCUUAACACAUGCAAGUCGAACGGAAAGGCCCUGCUUGCAGGGUACUCGAGUGGCGAACGGGUGAGUAACACGUGGGUGAUCUGCCCUGCACUUCGGGAUAAGCCUGGGAAACUGGGUCUAAUACCGGAUAGGAGCCAUUUUUAGUGUGAUGGUUGGAAAGUUUUUUCGGUGUAGGAUGAGCUCGCGGCCUAUCAGCUUGUUGGUGGGGUAAUGGCCUACCAAGGCGGCGACGGGUAGCCGGCCUGAGAGGGUGGACGGCCACAUUGGGACUGAGAGACGGCCCAGACUCCGACGGGAGGCAGAAGUGGGGAAUAUUGCACAAUGGGCGCAAGCCUGAUGCAGCGACGCCGCGGGGGGGAUGACGGCCUUAGGGUUGUAAACUCAAUUCGCUAGGGACGAAGCUUUUUGUGACGGUACCUAGAGAAGAAGCACCGGCUAACUACGUG
rnacentral:rRNA from 1 species